rnacentral:rRNA from 1 species
UACGGGGGGGGCAAGCGUUGUUCGGAAUUACUGGGCGUAAAGGGCUCGUAGGUGGCCAACUAAGUCAGACGUGAAAUCCCUCGGCUUAACCGGGGAACUGCGUCUGAUACUGGAUGGCUUGAGGUUGGGAGAGGGAUGCGGAAUUCCAGGUGUAGCGGUGAAAUGCGUAGAUAUCUGGAGGAACACCGGUGGCGAAGGCGGCAUUCUGGACCGACAUUGACGCUGAGGAGCGAAAGCCAGGGGAGCAAACGGG